UACGUAGGGGGCUAGCGUUGUCCGGAAUCAUUGGGCGUAAAGCGCGCGUAGGCGGCCCGGUAAGUCCGCUCUGAAAGUCCAGGGCUCAACCCUGGAAUGCGGGUGGAUACUGCCGGGCUAGAGUCCGGAAGAGGCGAGUGGAAUUCCUGGUGUAGCGGUGGAAUGCGCAGAUAUCAGGAGGAACACCAAUGGCGAAGGCAGCUCGCUGGGACGUUACUGACGCUGAGACGCGAAAGCGUGGGGAGCAAACAGG
rnacentral:rRNA from 1 species